ensembl:lncRNA
UGUUCAUUGAUAUUAUCUUGGGAUAUUAAGGAGGGUUUCAUUACGAAGAUAAAUUGAAAUGCAAGGAUGUAUAAACCUUUUUUUCCAGGCAGAAAAAGGGAAAAGGCAUUGUGGAAGGAGGAGUGCAAAGGAUCCCCAGUGGGUGAAUGUGGAAAAGUGCCAUGCUUGACCUCUUGGGGAGAGAAAAUGAUACAAGAUGGAUUUCAAGGACAGCUAAUCACUUCCUGCAUGUAAAUAACUGUUAGAAUGAGUGAAGUUGAACAACCUCAGCAAAUAUUUAUCCAGUGCUUCCCAUGGGCCAGGCACCUGGUUAAGUACUCGGAAUCCAAGGGCAACCCAAAAUUAACAAGGCUCAGUUGCAAUCG